rnacentral:rRNA from 1 species
UACGAAGGGGGCUAGCGUUGCUCGGAAUGACUGGGCGUAAAGGGCGCGUAGGCGGUUCGUACAGUUGGAUGUGAAAGCCCCGAGCUCAACUUGGGAAUUGCAGUGGAUACUGGCAAGCUGGAGUGCGGUAGAGGAAGGUGGAAUUCCCGGUGUAGCGGUGAAAUGCGUAGAGAUCGGGAGGAACACCAGUGGCGAAGGCGGCCUUCUGGACCAGCACUGACACUCAAGCACGAAAGCGUGGGGAGCAAACAGG